CACCUGACCAACGCAAACUCUUGAUAGCAACGAGAUGUCGUGCUCACUUACAUAUAAGAAACCAAACCAAUGCCUCUCACCGCAAAUUCUAGUCGGACAGUUAACUGGUGGUCCUUGAAUUCUUUGGCGAACUAAUCGCGGCUCCAGAACACACAUUAUUACAUCAAGUGAAAGAGGAUAACUUUAUAUAUUGUAAUUAUUUAAUACUACACUAGUUAUUUAUAAAUUUUACUAGAUGACUCCGUCUCAAUAUAUCGAGUUUCAUAAUUUUAUUUAUAUAAAACCCCAGUUGUGUUCUAGACAAAUUAGCAAGAGAUGAGGAAAUUACAAUUCAUCCCAAGUACGAAACGGGAUUUCACGAUGCAACAAUUAGCGGCAGGUGGAUUACGACAUAGAUAGGAAUCUGGAGAUUUGCCAGUACCUAUGAUAAGAUGGAUGUAGAGGUUGCUGGAGUCUGAGUGACUGGUCAGAAACGACUGAGUAUAUAUAUAAGAAAAUUCUAGCCACACGAUGAGUGAACGCCGAUGAGAUACCACCUGGGGGAAUGCGCUCACCUCUCCAGAAAUCCGGCCACUGGAACUUAAAUCGCAUGUGCAUGACGUUUUUUAAUUUACGAUAAUGUAUUGGUUCAAAUUUCAUCAUCAUCACAAAUAAUAAACUAGUUUCUAGAUCCUUUUUUUUUAAUCUCAAAAAAUAAGGGAAUUUAAAUAUAAUUAAUUAUUAUGAUACUGGUUAGCCGAGGUCUACUAAUUUUUGAAUUUUUUUAAAAAUGAUAAAUUAUAAAAUAAAAAAUUGCACCUAUAACUUUUUUAAUAUUCUACACCCGCAUAUUUUUAGUUUUUUUUUUUUUGCAACCGACCCGUGUAAAAAAAUUGUUGAAAAAAGGUUAAAAAAGUGUUGACUAUUCUAAACUUCAAAACUUUACACAAUGACGAACUUUUUUUAAACGAUUUUUAAACUUCUAAAAAUGCACGUAAAAAAAACAAUUAAAUUAAUAGUACAAAUUAAAAUUUUUUAGUGCAAAAUACGUUCAGAAAAAACGGAUUUCUAACUAUUUCUGACCAUUUUUCAUUUUAUCAUAUCUAGGGCCAGGAUUUUUGCUUUGAUUUAAAAAUAAUAAUCAAUAAUCAAUCGUGUGAAAUUUUUGAUAUUACGGCAAAAAUAUUGGUCGUAUAAAAAAUUUUUUUAAACAAAAGUUGUAGGAAAUUUAAUUUUAUAAAAAAAAUGUCUCUUAUAAUAUUUUCGUAGCACCAAUAAAAAAGCCGUAAUUUCAAAAUUAAGAAUUUCGUAAUUAUCAAAAAUUUGAAUCACUCAUUAUGAAACUUAAUUUUGGAAUUACGAUUAAAAUAUUGGUCGUUUAAAAAAAUAAUACGAGAGAUUUAUUUUAGAAAAUUGAAUUUCCUACAACUUUUGUUUGAAAACUUUUAUGAUAAAACAAAUAUUUUCGCUGGAAUAUCCAACAUUUGAAUAAUUCAUUUAAAAAUUAAGGUAAAAAUCUUGUCCCUAAUCAUAUCUUAAUUAAAUUAUGACAUUUGUUGAUUUUCCCUUUGAAUUUUUAAAAGUUUAAAAAGCGUUCAAAAAAAGUAUGUCGUUGUGUCACGUUUUGAAGUUUACAAUAGUCAACACUUUUUUAACCUUUUUUUAACAAUUUUUUUUACACAGGGAGUUGUUGGAAAAAAAUAAAAAAAUUGUUAAUUGUCUGCUGACUUCGGAAUCAUGAAUUGUUUAUUAUUUUGAUCUUCAUAAAUUGCAAUCAAUUUUAGUUGUACGAUUAUUUAUAAUCUAUAUGAUUAAUUAUAAAUUUCUCGAUAAGAUAAUUUUGAUUGUCAUUGAUUCAGUGUUUUGAACUUUAAACAAUUUAUCGAAGAUUGUUUAAUUAAUCCGAUACAUCAAAAUAAGUUUUCAACGUUCACUGAGUGCGGGCACAGAGUUUAUGCAAUUUAUUUAUUUUGUAUUUAUAUUUAAAAUUAAUAUUUAUUAUAUUUUUUCCAUUAUAAUCAAUCAUUUUAUUCAAUAAAGAAAAUAUCGUCAAGAUUUUGCUGCUAUUUUUUUACUCGAUGAUGUAUUCGUUGUAAAAUAUUUUUAUUACUUAAAUUAUGUGUUCAAAAUUAUAGACAUUAAUUUUAUUAAUUUAUCUUUGACGUAUAGAUGAAUUGUUUUCAAUAAAAACAAAUGUAUUUUUAUUGUUUAUGCUGAGCACAAGCUGUAAAUAUGACAUAUAUUAUAUUUAUCAUGUUUGAUGAUCGAGGCUUAUAUAUAUAAAAGGAUUAUGAUGAAUAUUUUAUCGGUGUCUUUUGAAUAAAUUUUUUUCGGUAGCGAUUAAAUGCUCAGUUGAAUUUAAAUAUGAAUACUAAAUUUUUUUUCUUUUAUUUUUUUUUUUUAAUUAUAAAUUUUUCA